rnacentral:sRNA from 4 species
AUGUACCACUCGUACACUGCGUUCUGAGCGCGCUCUCCGCACCCACCUGACGACUGCCCGCUACGGUUUGUCAGCC